rnacentral:rRNA from 1 species
UACGGAGGGGGCUAGCGUUGUUCGGAAUUACUGGGCGUAAAGCGCACGUAGGCGGCUUUGUAAGUUAGAGGUGAAAGCCCGGGGCUCAACUCCGGAAUUGCCUUUAAGACUGCAUCGCUAGAAUUGUGGAGAGGUAAGUGGAAUUCCGAGUGUAGAGGUGAAAUUCGUAGAUAUUCGGAAGAACACCAGUGGCGAAGGCGGCUCACUGGACGACUGUUGACGCUGAGGUGCGAAAGCGUGGGGAGCAAACAGG